rnacentral:lncRNA from 1 species
UAUGUGUUCUCUUUCUUGUUUUUGUUAGGAUCCGUGCUGCUGCAUUGUGAACAAGUGGUGGGGAUUUAUUGUUUGGCACUUGGUCCCAAAGGAUGGAGAGAGUUUGAGUAAGGGAGAAGUAACUGGGUGAGGUCUCUGUAACAGUUAGGUCAGGGUUUUCAUGGUUUGCUGAACACAAUGAGGAACAGACUGACGGAAAGGAAGAACAGAGUGAAAGAAAGAGCCAACAAGGAAACAACAGACCAAAAACAAGAGAGCAGGUGAUUCAUAACUUCUGUGACAGGCAUGCCUGCUUAUGCUAAAUGGAGUACAAGGACGAAUGAAUACUGUUUAAAUAUUAGCUCUAAAUACAUUUUAAUUACCCUACAAAGUCUUUAAUAAGUAAGAGGCCUGUACAUUUUUUAGAUACACAAUUAUUCAGAGAAAAGCUGUGGGUGUCACAGCAUGAGCCAAAACAUUAAGAAGAGCCCAGUUUUUGUGCACAUUGGGCAGGAAUACUCCAAUCAGCUUCUUUUUAGGAAUGAUGUUACAUGGGUAUUGCAGUAUUUACAUGCAAAACAUCCCUGUUUCUGACUCUGGCAGUUCCGUGAGUGUGCUGUGGACCUCCUUACCUAUGCACACCUGAGAGUCAGGGCUCUGGAGGAGGGCAGUGCCACUACUACGGCCCCAGAGGAGAUCAGGGCCACCAGAAAACUAAAUCAGGUGGAGCCUGUGUGACCCUUAACUGCUUGUGUGACAUCUGCCAGCAUGCACAACUAGUCCAACUGCUACGCAGUUACACUCCUAAAGGUCACUCUCAAUCCAGUCUCGUCGCCAUUUCCUCUGCUGCUACUCGCACUCUGUCACGCUUGACACUCAGCACAAGGACCGUCUGGCUCCGCUGUGUUUUCAUUCCCAGUCCUGGAGCAAAGGAUCUGACUGCAGCAGCGCGGCUGGUCCUGGGCUGUCCCUGCCUGCCACAACGACGACUUCUCUUCACUGUGCUGCUGGAGGCCAGCAAUGUGGACACUGGCUUGGAAAUCUUGGGCUGCAUACUGGUUUUCCAAGUCCUGGGCUUACGAAACUGCUUAGAAUGGUGUGCCGAUCAUGUGUCC